GUGGACCCUUUUGAAGUCAUGGUUGUUCCAGGAAGAAUCCCUUGAAUGCUCCCCUCCAGCUAAGGUCACAAAAGGAAAGGGGGCCCUGGUCACUAUAGCAAAGUGGACUGAACACUUAUUGGACAUACUGAUGUGGAUCUGAGAUCUGUGGCAUAAGCUUUACCCACUUUGCCAUGCGACUGUUCGUGCACCAAAUUGCCUGCGAAAUGAAGAGCUCAAAAUGGAAGACCAGUUUCCAAGCAAGAGUAAAAAGAUUCACAGAAGAUGGAAGCUGCCUUCUUAUCAUGAUGCCAGAGGACAUAAGAUUUGCAGAAGUGCUUGUUUCUAAGAGCACAAAUGAGAAUGUGGAGAAGGGAAAAAGAUAUCUCCCACUAUGCCCACCAUUCAUUAUAAUUCCCGGUGGACUGCUGCCAUGGAAGAUAUGAAGCUGAAGCCAUGAGCAGAAAGAAGUGAUU